GUAGGUGGCAAGCGUUGUCCGGAAUUAUUGGGCGUAAAGCGCGCGCAGGGCGGUUCUUUAAGUCUGAUGUGAAAGCCCACGGCUCAACCGUGGAGGGUCAUUGGAAACUGGGGAACUUGAGUACAGAAGAGGAAAGCGGAAUUCCACGUGUAGCGGUGAAAUGCGUAGAGAUGUGGAGGAACACCAGUGGCGAAGGCGGCUUUCUGGUCUGUAACUGACGCUGAGGCGCGAAAGCGUGGGGGGCAAACAGGAUUAGAUACCCUGGUAGUCCACGCCGUAAACGAUGAGUGCUAAGUGUUAGGGGGUUUCCGCCCCUUAGUGCUGCAGCUAACGCAUUAAGCACUCCGCCUGGGGAGUACGGCCGCAAGGCUG
rnacentral:rRNA from 1 species